rnacentral:rRNA from 3 species
AACGACUCUCGGCAACGGAUAUCUCGGCUCUCGCAUCGAUGAAGAACGCAGCGAAAUGCGAUACUUGGUGUGAAUUGCAGAAUCCCGUGAACCAUCGAGUCUUUGAACGCAAGUUGCGCCCGAAGCCUUCUGGCCGAGGGCACGUCUGCCUGGGCGUCACGC